rnacentral:rRNA from 1 species
UACGAAGGGUGCAAGCGUUAAUCGGAAUUACUGGGCGUAAAGCGCGCGUAGGUGGUUCAGUAAGUUGGAAGUGAAAUCCCCGGGCUCAACCUGGGAACUGCUUUCAAAACUGCUGAGCUAGAGUACGGUAGAGGGUGGUGGAAUUUCCUGUGUAGCGGUGAAGUGCGUAGAUAUAGGAAGGAACACCAGUGGCGAAGGCGACCACCUGGACUGAUACUGACACUGAGGUGCGAAAGCGUGGGGAGCAAACAGG